GGAGAUGUAUGCAAUUGGAAAAGCAGGGUGGAUUUUAACCGCCUGUCUAUAGACUGAGCAGGUUCGAUUCCUGACCAUCUCCACCA
rnacentral:tRNA from 1 species